rnacentral:tRNA from 1 species
CCCCAUAUGUCUAGCGGUAAGGAUUCCUGGCUUUCAUCCGGGCGGCCCGGGUUCGACUCCCGGUAUGGAUU